GAGAUUCUUCCUCAUCUUGGUAAUACGGCUGGUAAAAUUGACGUUGAGUUGACCAGCCCUUAUGUUGCCAUUCACCCCAGCCACCCCAGCGUGGAACAUCUUCUUCAGUUGAAUGCGACUGCUGAGCCCAAGCGGAGUCCGAGUAGUCGUGAGUGUCAACGGGUGAAGGAUUAUCAUCUCCACCAUUGUGAUCCACAUCGUGCCUGGCUUCUUCU
rnacentral:lncRNA from 1 species